GACGUAGGGCGCGAGCGUUGUCCGGAUUUAUUGGGCGUAAAGAGCUCGUAGGCGGCUUGUCGCGUCGUUCGUGAAAACCUGCAGCUCAACUGCAGGCUUGCGGUCGAUACGGGCAGGCUAGAGUUCGGUAGGGGAGACUGGAAUUCCUGGUGUAGCGGUGAAAUGCGCAGAUAUCAGGAGGAACACCGGUGGCGAAGGCGGGCACCUGGGUCCUUACUG
rnacentral:rRNA from 1 species